AUACACAAUCCUUGCAGACACACACAUCACCCUCACCCAGCACCCUAGCAUACUCACACAGCACCCUAACACUCACACAGCACCCUAGCAUACUCACACAGCACCCUAACACUCACACAGCACCCUAACUCACACACAGCACCAUAACACACAGACAGCACCCUAACUCACACAGAGCACCACAACACACACACAGCACCGUAACACACACACAGCACCCUAACUCACACAGCACCCUAACACACAAACAGCAC